GAGAGGCCAAUACCAACACGAUAUACCUCUUCUAUACACACCAAAAAGAAAAACUAUCCCAAAAACGUCUUCGGUCUUCAUUCAUUACUGCUGCGAUAGUGCUGUUGUGAAGUUUACAUUUGUUUUUUGGUAAAAAAAUUUAAUAAGAAGAUGGGCAAAGGGAAAGGUGGCGGUGGCGGUGGUGAUAAAGGUGGAAAAGGUGGAAAGGCUGCUCCUGCUGCAGCUGCUGCAACACCAGCAGCGGGUGCAACGAAACCAGCCGAUAGUAAAGGAGGCAAGAAAGGUGGCAAAAAAUAAUUGUAAGACAACUGGGACUGACUGCGACUGUGAGGAUCGCACAAGAAAUCUAUAAAUAAUAAAGAAUCACCAGCACCACCGAACGUAUUAUAUUGCCGAUACUUAUCAUAAGAAAUGUUUUAUUUAAAAAGAAAAAUGACCUUGACGAAGGUGACGCUACUUUCUAUAUACAAAAUCGAACUGAGAUGUGAACCAAUAUGAUGUCAUUACGUGUGCACACAACUUCAAAAACAAAAUGUAUUUUCGUAUUUUCCACAUAAGCCAAACACGCGUAAAACUCACACAACCAUCUCAUUUGUACAUAAAACGAUUUUCGGAUGGCAUUUCAAAAUAAACAAAGCCAAAAAAUCUCACAGUUUUCCGGUUGCUCAAUUUU